GACGAACGCUGGCGGCGUGCCUAAUACAUGCAAGUUGAGCGCUGAAGGUUGGUACUUGUACCAACUGGAUGAGCAGCGAACGGGUGAGUAACGCGUGGGGAAUCUGCCUUUGAGCGGGGGACAACAUUUGGAAACGAAUGCUAAUACCGCAUAAAAACUUUAAACGCAAGUUUUAAGUUUGAAAGAUGCAAUUGCAUCACUCAAAGAUGAUCCCGCGUUGUAUUAGCUAGUUGGUGAGGUAAAGGCUCACCAAGGCGAUGAUACAUAGCCGACCUGAGAGGGUGGUCGGCCACAUUGGGACUGAGACACGGCCCAAACUCCUACGGGAGGCAGCAGUAGGGAAUCUUCGGCAAUGGACGAAAGUCUGACCGAGCAACGCCGCGUGAGUGAAGAAGGUUUUCGGAUCGUAAAACUCUGUUGGUAGAGAAGAACGUUGGUGAGAGUGGAAAGCUCAUCAAGUGACGGUAACUACCCAGAAAGGGACGGCUAACUACGUG
rnacentral:rRNA from 1 species